AAGACAGACAAGCAGAGGCCACUCAGAGUCUCUGACUUCUGGCUGUAGUCCUGAACCCCCACGCUGGUGACACAGGAGAACGUCUCAUCUCAUCACUUUGCAGACAGUGACAUCCUUGCACAAAUCAUCCCAUCCAUGCUCAGUGUCAGCCCCUCUGCUCACAAGCAAUUCCAGCAGCCCCUGCGAGUAAAGCAGGUGACCGUUCUGGGCGAGUCACAGGAAACAAAUUUCCAUAGAUAAGGGAAGAAAGUCCUUUUUCAAUUUCUUGUUUCCAACUCUUCAGCAGCCACCAGGUGUCAGUGCGAUCAAACGUUUGGCAGAUGGGACGACAGCAAAGUCCAUGUAGGUGGAAAACACUUUCCCAGGAAUUACUCCAUCUUCUGUCUGCUCUGGAGCCCGGUGCACCUCUCUGAGAAGUCCAGCUUUAACAGUCUUUGUUAAAAAGAAGUUUAACUACAUUAAAUUGAUAGAAAAGUUUCCCAUAACAAGUGAUAAAGUUUCUCUUCCUUUUUAAGUCCUCCCUGUACAGACCUGGACCCAAAUUCUGAACAACAAAGUAAAAUGGGCUACAGACAGCCUUUCUACAGCACUUCCCAGCCUGCACGUACCAGGAAGCGACCCAUCUGCAGGGCUUGCAGGAGAGGACAACAGUGCAAUUGACUUAACAAGAUUGGCCUAGUGCAAAAAAUGAUACAGAGAAAAAAACAAGUGGAAAAGGAAUAAAAAGAUCACCAGACUACAAUGAAAUGCUAUUAGCCAGUAGAUUUGCAGAGAUAAGCUGAGAUCAUAUAGCCAAGUGCACCCUGUCAGAGACAUCAGAAUAUUGUUCUGGCCUUUGUGAUAGCCACCCUCAGGCACUCUGAAGAUACCCUGGAGCACUCCAGAUUCAGAGGAAUCCACUACAGGCUCUAGAAUACAGUCAGGCUGUAAAAACCCAGGGCAGCAAACCAGGAGGAUUUACUAGGUUAUUAAUAAGCCUCAGUGUCCUCCUUGCUUUCUUUAGAGUUUGAAGACUUAGACCAGAUCAGGAGGUGCUGAGUCCAGCAAGAAGCAUACUUUAUCAGCACCUUGUUGUUUCUCUUAAUAGCACAGAGAGAAAAGGAGGCAGCAAAGCAGCUCCUAGCAAUGAAGUGCACCAAGAAAGUGUUUUGUAUAUGAAGUAAUUCACAUCUGACUGGUGGCUGUACCUUCAUAAUAGCUACUGGGUUAAACAAACAAACAAACAAAGAAAAAACAUAUUUAGUGAAGAUUAUUGGACUUAGAAACAUUUAUACAGUGAAACUGCCUGAAGGCCACAGCCGUGCCAGGCCCUGUUAUGCUAAGUGCUAUACAAACUCAGAUUUAAACUCCAUGCUUUAAAUUUACCCACCAUAUUCUAUUAACAACUUGCAUUUAAUCCUGUGAAGCCCAAAAUGCCAUCAACACAGCCAAUGAACUUGUGCAGUUUCACUGCACGAACCCACCAAAUUCAGCAGGAGUCAUCAGUGAGGGAUGGUCAGCAAAGGGCCACGCGUGGCCAUCCACGUGUGCUGACUGCUCCCCCACACCAGCCACCCAUUAUCAACUGCUGCUAGGACAGGAGGGGGAACUCCUCUGGGUAGCUCUGCAGCUCUGCCAACAAGAUACAAAAGGAGCCAGUGGUCACCAUCUCUUACACAACACAAGGAUAAGGUAGAGAGGCAGAAUAAACACUGAAAAUUGGAAUCUGGAUAGGAAACCAAAGGCUAUCACCUAUCUUGAAUAGACUUAUCAAGCUGGUCCUACAUCAAGGUGAUCUGUGAUUCAGUUUGUAUGCAAAGCGCUAUGCAAAAUGAAACAGACUCUUUUGUACCUUGACUUUAGGGACUUACAUCAGGGAUGAACAUGCUAAAAAUACCUAUACAUACAGAGAUAGAUUUACAGACUGCAUAUCUGGAGUCUUCUGUACAAGGUCUCCUUAAAGACCAAACGUGAAGCUGUGUCUUGCAGUAAGCAAGCAAGCAGAUCACCAUAAUGGACAGGAAUAGCGUUGCCACUGACCUAAGCAAGUCCCUCAAUCCCUUGGCAAUAGAAGAAACAAAUGUUCUGGGAUUACAGGCUUGAAAGUAGUUCCAAGUCUCGAUUUAGACAGGGCUCAAAGAACAAUUAUGCAUAUUCACGUGCCUUUUAUCACACAUCUUCAGGGAAUUGGGGCCUCAGAGUUGCCUGAGGCAUGCCUGAGAAACAUUCAUUGGGGAGCUCUGAGAUCUGCUUCUCAUCUAAACAGGCUUUUACACUUGUUUGAAUGCAGUAAUUUAAAAGAGUUACCCUGAUUUACACCAAUAUGACAUUAAACACUUCACACUUCAAGGCAGGAUCCUGGAAAGGAAACAAAAGGGCCAGAAAAUUAUCAGUUUGAGUUUUCACUUUUCUCCCUGUUAAAAGUCUCAACACCUUUACGCUUACCUCAAAAAGAUUAACUGAAUACAAACUAUCCUGGAAAAUGGAAUAGGAGUAGAAAAGUCCUGCCAAUCUAAGACCAAGACGAAGGAUACUCUACUGCUAAUUUCAUAGGCUGUUAGGUGAAAGAGGCAGUUAUAAAGGUCCUUUUUUGAGCAACUCUCCAACCUAAUGCAAACUUCCAGCUGAGAUGCUGCACCAUGGCACCAAAUUCUCUGCAAUCAGCCAAACAAGGGUAAAGUGCUCAGACUUUGCAAGCUCAGCUUGGAGCUGUGGAAGUGAAAAAGGAAUGUGGGCUGUUUAGGGGUGCGAGGUUGAGGAGGGGGAAAAAAAAAAAAAAAAAAAAAGAGAUGACACUGAGGUGUUCUUCCCAGACAUAAACAUCUGAAUGCUACACUGCUAGAAAAAGCUCUCUUCAUGGAGUGGAAUGCAAACUCAGCCCAAGAUAUCAGAGUUGUCAUUCCCUCCAUCCAGAACAACACAUACGUUUUACAGCACCUGCAGGGAUUGAAUGCAACCUAAAGAUAAAAAUCCAGAUGUAUCAAGGUCAGGAUCUGGCUGACGUAAUUUCAGCUGGACUCUUGAAGUGUAUUAAUUCCCCAAAGCUGGACUCUUAGUGCUAGACUUAGCCUCAACUCCUUUUUUUCAAGGCCAGCCACUCUCAGCUACUACCAGAGAGCUACAGUAAGUGCAUUUAAAGGUGAUGAAAGCAUUGGUGCUACUGAUAGGAACACACACACAUAGACCUACCCACCCACCCAUCCCCACUUCCCUCUGUUCAGUGAUCCUCCUGGCUCCAAGCCACAGAUGCAGGCUCAGGACUUCUGUUGGGAAAACUUGCCCAAAAAAUUUGACCCCUCCUGAGCCUUUAAGCUGUUCCUGAUAAGCCACUUGAUCCCAUGGUCCAUCAGUCAAGAUAGGAGAGAGACAAUUGUAUUUAAGGGGGUGGUUCCCUCUCUUCUUUUUCUAAAGAUGUGUGUCUUCCUCAAACACAUCCACAUCCUCGCUUGCCUGCUUAUUGAUCAGGACAUCCCAGCUGUCAGGGCCAUUGAUGGUGUUUCCACCAUUCACGCUUGGCUUCUUCUCCUGCAUUUCUGACUGGCUGUCACUAGCCACAUCCAAGGUGGGGUUGUCAUGGCAGCCGUUCUCAACAAAGCGCAGCUCCUCACCAUGUGACUGCAAAGGAGGAAGAGGAGCACAGAGACAAGUGAGGAUAGGUCUUAGUGCUGCUGAACACUAAAUUUAUUCCUGGCCCAAACCCUGCAGCAGAAUCAAACCAUCCUGAGCACAUCAAGAGGUGUGUAGGUUUACAUCUCCCUUAUGCGUAAACAGCUUCCCUGCUGCUCCAGCAGUGUAUCCAGCUACAUCCACAAAGUGGACAGGGAAAACAAUCUCUUUCCAAAUCCCUUCAUCCCAGCCACCUUCCCCACCUGUCCAGUGCUCACCAUGUUCUUCAUCUUCGGCAGACGUCUCUGCCAGCAGUUGUAUAUGAGCCCCAAUACAAUGAUGAUGGCACAGAUGGAGCCAAUGAUCACCAGUACCACAAAGAGUUUCCCAUAAUCACUGCGUGUCUGAUUGGGGUGUGACUGACAGCUUGUGGUGGUUGAAUAGUUCUGGAUGCCAAUCUGAAAGGAAGCAAGGAAAGAAGUAGUACACUAAAUCCCCUGGCCUGCCAUCGGGUAGGAUCUGCUCAGUUUUCUGGGUUUAAGUACAGGACCAUCACUGUAGGCAGAGGAACUAAAAGGCAGGGUUAGGAAGUCAGGAUGUUCACUGUCUUACAUGACUAGAAGGCACACAAACAAAUUUAACACCAUCUUCCUUGAGAGCUUGCCAAUCAGCCAAGUGUCAGUGGGCAUAAUCCUGCCUUGACUGCCUGCACAAGGAUCACACCAACAUGAAAGACAGGGAGGCUUUCAUGUGAGAAAAUAUUCAAGAUUUAGUUCCCUUUUAAUUGUCAGCAAAGUUCAACGUCAUUCCCUGUGACUUGGUGAAUUCCAGCCUGGUUAUGUAACAAUUCAAUACUAAGUAUGAUGGAUGUAAGAGAAUAUCCUCCCUCUUCUUUCUAAGCCCACGCUGGCUCAAGGCCAGUGCAGUGAGGAGCAUUUCGUUAUUGAUAGAGCUGGAGAGUCAGAGGCAGGCAGUGGGGCUACUGUGGUAGGAUGCAUGUUAACGUGGGGGUAUUGUUGUACACAGAAUUCAAACGUCACACUGACAUGAAUCCUUUCUGGACAGUUCUAGCUGCUGAUACUUCAGUCACACAAUUUCUACAGGGUUGACUUUUUAGCACUUUCUCUGGUGUAAGCCAAUCAAUAACGCACUGAGCACUUAAUUUGCUUUAUCUAACUGCAUUGGUUUGUUAGGUCAGGGAAAAACCUGAGAGGAGACAUCCAGCAAUGUGGUAGCCCAAUUCUAAUGCUAAAGUCAGCAGAAUUACUUCAAGAGUGUUUAAAGGAAAAAAAAACAAAACAGCAGCAGAAUCACGCCUUCAGUGCUUAAGUGUCAAACUCGGAUCAUGGGACUAUUUUGCCUUCAUCUCUUCACUCUUUCAAGUUGCCUACAAUUAGAGGCAAAUACAUGAGGACAGGAGACAGCCAGCAGUGGAAUCUGGCAUCCAUCACAUGUGGUUCUCUGCCUGCCUUUGUGGAGGCAGUUAUCUAAAAGGGGUGAAAUACAGACCCUAGGAUAGCAGAAGGAAGGUGUGUGAAUGUGACCCAUGUAGUAGAGGCACCUCUCCCACCUCCUUCAGCAAAGGCUGAGGAACUGGCAACAGCCAACAUAUGGAAAUCAACAGGACUGAUUCUGGGGCUCUGCAGCACUCACAUCACCACAGGCAAGAGUGCAGAAGGUAUGUAAGUAGCCCAACAAAACGAAUGCAUGAAAAGCAACUUCAAAACUAAUCCGGAAGAGCGGGCAGGGAAUAACCCACAAUUACUCUCUUAACGGGAACAGACAUUUGAUGAUCUGGCAACUACCAGAGAGGGCAGAAGAGACUUUGCCAAGUGUCAGAUUAAUCUAUGUGCCUGCUGUGGGUUCAGCACUUGGUUAGACUGAGAUGCUUCCCAGUUUGCAAGGUGCUUAUUUUAAUUGUAUAGCCAGUCUUAAAGGAUGGAUGCAGGCAGACAGGCUUUUACCUCAGCUAAGCUCCUCUUAACGUCCCCCAGUGCCAUGAGAACAUCUUUUGUAGGGAUGACACCUGUAAAGAAGGAGAAAGAGAUCAGUGCUGCUUUUUCAGCUCAAGUUAACCGAGUUAGAUGUACUCAUUGUGUGUACACUGUGAAAUGCCCAACAGGAUGGAAGCAGGGGAACACAUGUUUUUGUUCAUUGGUACUUUAGGUUGAGACUGAAAAUUCAAGGACUAUAACACCAAGAGUACUUCCAAAUGUUCUUCAAAGAGGAAAAAAAAUCCAGGCAUGAACUGAUACUAUAGGCACCUAGGUACCCUCCCAGUAGCCACAGAAGCUCUCAGGAUCUGUACCUGCUCUGUGAGCAGCAACACCCUAAGUCAUGAAGGCAGGUGCUUAUCUUGCCCAGUCAAGCCCCCCACCCUUGCCAGCUCAACCUGAUCCUGAACUGCAGUACUUAAGAUGUUUCCACAGAAAUCCAUGCUCACUUAUUACAUCCUUUAGUAAGUGUGCUCUGUUCUGCAGGGCUCUUUGGAAAGGUAGUGUCCCUGACAAAACAGCAGAUUCUGCAAUAGAUGUGCUGUAAUAGCUCCACUCCGAGCAGGAGCUUUAGCCAGGGAGUCACCAGCCCACACCAAGUGAGCCUCUCCUGAACCCUCCUUCCAUAACAGUUCCUGGGAUGUUCUCCAAACUGGAUGAGCAUGAACAGACACAGAGGAUUUAGAGAUGGAGGCCCAAUUCAACUUAUAUUUGUUCAGCAGUAAAAAGAGGAACCUAACAAAAGCACUUUCCAAAGCAGAAAAUACUUUGUUUCUGGAAGCUUUUAAACUC
rnacentral:lncRNA from 1 species